UACGUAGGGUGCAAGCGUUGUCCGGAAUUAUUGGGCGUAAAGAGCUCGUAGGCGGUCUGUCGCGUCGGCUGUGAAAACUUGGGGCUCAACCCCAAGCCUGCAGUCGAUACGGGCAGACUAGAGUGCGGUAGGGGAGACUGGAAUUCCUGGUGUAGCGGUGGAAUGCGCAGAUAUCAGGAGGAACACCGGUGGCGAAGGCGGGUCUCUGGGCAGUAACUGACGCUGAGGAGCGAAAGCGUGGGGAGCGAACAGG
rnacentral:rRNA from 1 species